rnacentral:rRNA from 1 species
CUGCGAAUGGCUCAUUAAAUCAGUUAUCGUUUAUUUGAUAGUACCUUACUACUUGGAUACCCGUGGUAAUUCUAGAGCUAAUACAUGCUAAAAACCCCGACUUCGGGAGGGGUGUGUUUAUUAGAUAAAAAACCAACGCCCUUCGGGGCUCCUUGGUGAUUCAUGAUAACCUCUCAGAUCGCACGGCCUUGCGCCGGCGACGGUUCAUUCAAAUUUCUGCCCUAUCAACUUUCGAUGGUAAGGUAUUGGCUUACCAUGGUUUCAACGGGUAACGGGGAAUUAGGGUUCGAUUCCGGAGAGUGAGCCUGAGAAACGGCUCACACAUCCAAGGAAGGCAGCAGGCGCGCAAAUUACCCAAUCCCGACACGGGGAGGUAGUGACAAUAAAUACUGAUACAGGGCUCUUUUGGGUCUUGUAAUUGGAAUGAGUACAAUUUAAACCUCUUAACGAGGAACAAUUGGAGGGCAAGUCUGGUGCCAGCAGCCGCGGUAAUUCCAGCUCCAAUAGCGUAUAUUAAAGUUGUUGCAGUUAAAAAGCUCGUAGUUGAAUCUUUGGCCUGGCUGGUGGGUCCGCCUCACCGCGUGCACUUGUCCGGCCGGGCCUUCUCUUCUGGAGAACCGCAUGCCCUUCACUGGGCGUGUUGGGGACCAGGACUUUUACUUUGAAAAAAUUAGAGUGUUCAAAGCAGGCCUUUGCUCGAAUACGUUAGCAUGGAAUAAUAGAAUAGGACGUGCGGUCCUAUUUUGUUGGUUUCUAGGACCGCCGUAAUGAUUAAUAGGGACAGUCGGGGGCAUCAGUAUUCAAUUGUCAGAGGUGAAAUUCUUGGAUUUAUUGAAGACUAACUACUGCGAAAGCAUUUGCCAAGGAUGUUUUCAUUAAUCAGUGAACGAAAGUUAGGGGAUCGAAGACGAUCAGAUACCGUCGUAGUCUUAACCAUAAACUAUGCCGACUAGGGAUCGGGCGGUGUUAUCGAUUUGACCCGCUCGGCACCUUGCGAGAAAUCAAAGUGUUUGGCU